rnacentral:rRNA from 1 species
GAUGAACGCUGGCGGCGUGCCUAAUACAUGCAAGUCGAGCGAACAGACGAGGAGCUUGUUCCUCACACGUUAGCGGCGCACGGGUGAGUACCCUGUGGAUAACCUCACUAUCUGACUGCGAUAACUACGGGAACCCGGGGUUAAUAGCGGAUAAUAUAAUGCGCCGCAUGGGUCGAUCGUGACAGACGGUCUUGCUGUUACUUCUAGAUGGAUCCGCGCCGCAUUAGCUAGUUGGUAAGGAAACGGCUUACCAGGGCAACGAUGCGUAGACGACCUGCGAGAGGGAUCGUCGACACUGGGACUGAGACACCGUCCAGACUGCUACGGGGGGCAGCAGUAGGGAAUCGUCCGCAAUGGGCGAAAGCCUGACGGAGCAACGCGGCGUGGGUUAUGAGGGCCUUCGGAUCGGAAAGCUGUGUUAUUAGGGAAGAACAAAUUUGUAAGUAACUAUGCACGUCUUGACGGUACCUAGUCAAAAAGCCACGGCUAACUACGUG